AACGAACGCUGGCGGCAGGCUUAACACAUGCAAGUCGAGCGCCCCGCAAGGGGAGCGGCAGACGGGUGAGUAACGCGUGGGAAUCUACCGUACCCUACGGAAUAGCUCCGGGAAACUAGAAUUAAUACCGUAUACGCCCUACGGGGGAAAGAUUUAUCGGGGUAUGAUGAGCGCGCGUUGGAUUAGCUAGUUGGUGGGGUAAAGGCCUACCAAGGCGACGAUCCAUAGCUGGUCUGAGAGGAUGAUCAGCCACAUUGGGACUGUGACGCGGCCCAAACUCCUACGGGAGGCAGCAGUGGGAAUAUUGGACAAUGGGCACAAGCCUGAUCCAGCCAUGCCGCGUGAGUGAUGAAGGUCUUAGGAUUGUAAAGCUCUUUCACCGAUGAAGAUAAUGACGGUAGUCGGAGAAGAAGCCCCGGCUAACUUCGUGCCAGCAGCCGCCGUAA
rnacentral:rRNA from 1 species